UAGGUGGAUAUAGUUUAUAAAAAUGUUAGUUCGUGACCCUAACGAAAAGAGACAAAACUCUUUAUCCACC
rnacentral:tRNA from 1 species